ensembl:lncRNA
GGCCAGGAUAACCCUCUAGCCUGACCCCAGAAGCAGAACUCUUUCCCUGAACGCUGGAUUGCCUCCGUCAACCCUUGACAAAUACCAUGUCACUGCCUGGCGCAAAGCCACGGAUGGCUGGAGCCCUCCCCUCGGCAUGAUUAGUUAGAAGUUUGUGCCUUUAGCACCCAUCACGGGAGAAGAAAAAUCUCGAAUGUUGUUAAUAAACAGAGUCAGAGGAAAGCGCUGGAACGGGGCAGGUGUUAUUUAUCAAAGGUGAGAAAUAAGCUAAUCAGGAAAAUCCAUCGCAGGGUGACUGUUUCACGGGAGGGUGAGGGUGAGUGUGGGGACUCAGCUCAUUGCUGCUCCAGGAUCUGGAGGCGAUUAGAUGCCUCAUGCCGAAGACUAAGGAAAAGGGUUGACAGCGCAGAGAAAGAGGCUCAGGACUUGCUGGCCUUGGUCUCUGCACACCCAGCCAGCCACCCAGCCAGCCAGCAGCUCUCCCGUGGGGUCGAGGCUCUCCGGGGAAGCCAGUGUGACAGCACAUUCCUCUCUGUCUAGGAGCUGCUCCAGAGCUCCCAAGAGAUGUGGCCGACUUCCCUGGCAGGACGGGCCUCAGUUUCCCUGAGAUGGGCAGGUGGGAAGGUGAAGAUCCAAGUAUGAUUUACAGUCGCCAGGAGAUGCAAGCAACCAAAAUGUCCAUCGAAAGAGGAGGGGAUAAAGAAGACGUGGUGUAUGUACAGC